rnacentral:rRNA from 1 species
UGAGGAAUAUUGGUCAAUGGACGCAAGUCUGAACCAGCCAAGUAGCGUGCAGGAUGACGGCCCUAUGGGUUGUAAACUGCUUUUAUAUGGGGAUAAAGUGGGGAACGUGUUCCCUUUUGCAGGUACCAUAUGAAUAAGGACCGGCUAAUUCCGUGCCAGCAGCCGCGGUAAUACGGAAGGUUCGGGCGUUAUCCGGAUUUAUUGGGUUUAAAGGGAGCGUAGGCCGUUUGGUAAGCGUGUUGUGAAAUGUAGGAGCUCAACUUCUAGAUUGCAGCGCGAACUGUCAGACUUGAGUGCGCACAACGUAGGCGGAAUUCAUGGUGUAGCGGUGACAUGCUUAGAUAUCAUGAAGAACUCCGAUUGCGAAAGCAGCUUACGGGGGCGCAACUGACGCUGAAGCUCGAAGGUGCGGGUAUCGAACAGG